CCAAUAGCGUAUAUUAGUGUUGUUGCGGUUAAAAAGCUCGUAGUUGAAUUUCGGGAUUGGGAUAUAUCGGUCGUGCCUUUAGGGGCAUGAAUCAGUGUGUGGCCAAUUCUCACCUUCUGGUGAAUUGGGAUGCUCUCGGGUGUUUCAAUGAACUAGGACUUUUACUUUGAAAAAAUUAGAGUGUUUAAAGCGGGCAUUUUUGCUUGAAUACGUUAGCAUGGAAUAAUAAAAUAGGACGAUGGUUCUAUUUUGUUGGUUUUAGGACCACGUAAUGAUUAAUAGGGAUAGUUGUGGGCAUUAGUAUUCAAUUGUCAGAGGUGAAAUUCUUGGAUUUAUUGAGGACUAACUACUGCGAAAGCAUUUGCCAAGGAUGUUUUCAUUAAUCAAGAACGAAAGUUAGGGGAUCAAAGACGAUUUAUGUACGUCGUAGUCCUAACCAUAAACUAUGCCGACUAGGAAUCAGACAAAGUUAAUUUUUUAACGACUUGUUUGGUACCUUACG
rnacentral:rRNA from 1 species